rnacentral:rRNA from 1 species
GCCAUCAGAUGUGCCCAGAUGGGAUUAGCUAGUAGGUGGGGUAACGGCUCACCUAGGCGACGAUCCCUAGCUGGUCUGAGAGGAUGACCAGCCACACUGGAACUGAGACACGGUCCAGACUCCUACGGGAGGCAGCAGUGGGGAAUAUUGCACAAUGGGCGCAAGCCUGAUGCAGCCAUGCCGCGUGUGUGAAGAAGGCCUUCGGGUUGUAAAGCA